rnacentral:lncRNA from 1 species
AAGGAUGGGUCGCCUCUCCGGUGGGUGGUCCCUUCCGAAAAGCAGAAUCCACUCUGUGCCCUCAGGGGUCUCUGCUUGGAGAGUCCAUGGCAUCUGAGAGGAUGGGCCAGGUGAGGUGGGGGUGGCUCCUGAGAGCAGGGAGGACAAGGGCGGAGCUGGAGGCGUCAGGCCCAGAAGACCCCCCCAGUGACUCGGGGCAGCUGUGGGCAAGGCUUGGACCCAAGAGGCCUGACCACCCCGCCUGGCAGCACACCAGAGCACAGGCCAGACCUGAAGGGGCAGCGCCAGGGGGGCCCAUGGUCCACGGGUCACUCUGCUGGCCCUGCGGCC